rnacentral:lncRNA from 1 species
GCUUUUAGAGAUACUGUUUUAUCCUCUCAAAGGCUCUUUGACAGUUCUCGUUCCAUUAAAUGGCUUGAUCCUUUCACAUGAAUUUGAAGAUAGGUUCGCAUGUGGCAGUUAGGUGGGAUAUGAACCUAGCUAUAUAGUUUAAUCUCCCUAAGAAGCCACAAACCUCCUUUUAAGUUCUCGGUGCGGGCAUAACUUGUAUGGCUUUGAC